UAGGUCUCAGUUCAGAUUGCAGGCUGCAACCCGCCUGCAUGAAGUCGGAAUUGCUAGUAAUCGCGGAUCAGCAUGCCGCGGUGAAUACAUUCCCGGGUCUUGUACACACCGCCCGUCACACCAUGGGAGUCGGGAAUGCCCGAAGCCGGUGGCCCAAUCGAGAGAAGGGAGCCGUCGAAGGCAGGCCGGAUGACUGGGGUGAAGUCGUAACAAGGUAAC
rnacentral:rRNA from 1 species